rnacentral:misc_RNA from 1 species
UUUCCGUAGGUGAACCUGCGGAAGGAUCAUUGUCGAUGCCUUACAUGCAGACCAACUCGUGAAUUUGUUUGAAUACAUGGGGAUGGCUAGGGUGUUUGUCACCACGGCCUCCCUUUGGGUGGGAGGGCGCGCGCAAUGCGUUCACCCUCUUGCCUGAACACAAACCCCGGCGUUCAAUGCGCCAAGGAACUAAAAUUCGAUCAAUGCGCCCCGUCGGCCCGGAGACGGUGCUUUGGCGGUGGUGCCUUGUCACAUUAUACAGAAUGACUCUCGGCAACGGAUAUCUAGGCUCUU